CACGUUUUUGAUCCGUGCAGAGAUUUCGUCAGACAAUAACCUAUUACGUCUGAUCAGACUUCCAAGAUAAGUGAAGUU
rnacentral:pre_miRNA from 1 species